AAAACAUUUUGAUUUUAAUUUCCAGCCUGGAUAAAACCACUCUUCUUCCUUCACUUUUUCUCCUAAUUAAGAUGAUUUUUAUCAGAAUACACUAGCAUGCUAUUAAUGCUUGCUGACUGGUAACAUGGAUUUAGGAUGGGUCAUCUUCCCUCGAUGGCACCUGUCUGCAAACUGUAGCAGAUGUUAGCAGUGUAAUUAAUUGUGUGACAGGUGAGACCUGAGUCUGGGAACCGCCCCUGGUAGGCGGAGCUGGUUUUUGUCCCUUUCAUAAGCUCAGGUGUAGGCAAUUAGGUAUUCUCUGGAGCAAACCUGCAGCUGUGAGUGCUUGGUCUAAGCUGGGCAAGUUGGCACUUUUAACUUCUUUUAUGAAAGCUUGAUGCGGGCCCCCUAGCCUUCUGUUAGAACGGUGGGAAACAUUGCGUUCCUGUGAGAAACGUGUAGUGGACUCCACCGCCACUGACCAAUAUUUAUUAGGGUGUGACGCGAACUUGUGGACAGAGUACCGAGCUGCUGCUUUGCCGGGUGGAUUUCUGGCUGUGGGCAAAGGACCCGACACAUCACUGUAUUUUAAUUUGUCUUAACCUGGUGUGACUCAACAGAUUGUGGCGGCUGUUGAGUUUGUUUGCCUUAUUUGUUUUAUUUUUUAUUUUAUUAUAUUGUUGUGUAUCAGUAGACACCGCAGAUAUUGAUUGUCUUUUAGUGUUUUACCUUUUUUUUUUUUUUUUUUUUUUUUUAUUACUUAGUUUUUAAUAAAGGUUUUACAUAAAGGAAAACAACAAACAACCAAAAACAACAAUAACCAAACAAGCAGUCAACUGAAAAGCACAGCUUUUUCCCACAAAGCAAUUCUGGUAGUGAGAACAUGACUUUAUAUUCAUGAAUUGACAGCACAUCUACAGAUGUAAGAGCAGCCUAGGAGAGGCAUACAGAAGUUUAUAUAGAUGUGAGUAGGCACAGACAGGAGAAAGAAAGAAUAAAUAAAUUAAAAAAACGCAUUCUAAUUUCGGAUA